GUCCUACGGGAGGCAGCAGUGGGGAAUAUUGGGCAAUGGGGGAAACCCUGAUGCAGCGACGCCGCGUGUGGGAAGACGGUCCUCUGGAUUGUAAACCACUGUCCCCAGGGACGAAGAUGACGGUACCUGGGGAAGAAGCCCCGGCUAACUACGUGCCAGCAGCCGCGGUAAUACGUAGGGGGCAAGCGUUAUCCGGAUUUACUGGGUGUAAAGGGGGCGCAGACGGCGAUGCAAGCCAGGAGUGAAAGCCCGGGGCCCAACCCCGGGACUGCUCUUGGAACUGCGUGGCUGGAGGGCAGGAGGGG
rnacentral:rRNA from 1 species